rnacentral:sRNA from 1 species
UUAAGAAGGACAACAGUGCCUUUAGUCAC